GUUGCACAUUAAGUUUCUCCAGCAUGAAGGCUGAGCUUGGCCAGUUCAGAACUACUCUAGCUGCAAGAGGAGGCUUCUGAGGAAGAUUGAGGAAAGAACAAGCUGUGAACCGCCCGUGUGUGUACUCGAGGCUACUCCAGUUCCGGUUUCCAGCCCCUGUGAAGAGGAAGCAGAUCUGGAUGGAGAAGUCUCAGCUCCUUCUCCAGCACCAUGUCUGCCUGCAUGGCACCGUGCUCCCUGCCAUGAUGGACUCAACCUCCAAAACUGUAAGCAAGCCCCGAUCGCAUGCUUUCUUUUAUAAGAGUUGCUGUGGUCAUGGUGUCUCUUCACAGCCAUAGAACAGAGACUAAGACAGAAGUUGGUAUUAGGGUCUGGAGUAUUUAUGUAACAGGCCUGACCGUGCUGCUUAUUGGCAGAAUGUGGACUUGGGGACAGUAGAAAGGACUUAAUGGGCCAUACUAGUAGGACCUCAGAAGACAGUGGAGCUAAAUGCAAUGCAGAUUAUGAUGGCCCACCUCGAGACGUUUCAGAGGAAAAGAGUAUUAGUAAGUGAGAGUGUUUUUGCAUUUGGUGAAGAAUGUGCUUUCUGACCUUGUUUUUUUUUUUUUUUUAAAAAAUCUGCCUGAGUCUAACUUGAAGAGUUUGAACUAAUGUCAUUGACAGAAGAAGAGAUUUCAAGACCUGAUAUUGUGUAGUUAUUAGUGAUCACUUGUGUGACGACCUAUACAGUAGUGAUAACUAAGACACAGAGUGACAGUGACUGGUCCAUUGCCUGAACUGCUAUACUGGAAUGAGCCAGCAGGAGCACCAGCGGGCCAGGGAGCAUCAAGGGAAAGGAAGAGGAGAAAAUAGACACGAACGUACAGAACUGUGUCUGGCCUGGGUGAGCAGGCAGAAGGCCCACUGCAGCCCGAGUUCCUUAGCUCCAACCCGAAAAAGGCUCUGGGCUGUAGUAGGAUCCCGAACACCCAGCUAAUUAAGACUUUCUGUCAUCUGUUGUUCUUUUUUUUAUUUUUUAUUUUAUGCGCUUUGAUAUUUUGCCUGCAUGAGUGUCUGUGUGAGUGUGUUAGAUCUUGGAAUUACAGACAGUUAUAAGCUGUCACAUGAGUGCUGAGAUUUGAACCCAGGACCUCUGGAAGAGCAGUCAGUGCUCCUAACGGAGGAGCACCCUCUCCAGUCCCAGCUUUCUAUUAUCUUAACCCUAUGUCUGAGCAGCCUUUUCUAGUGAAUACCCCCCACAACACACGGGGAAAUGAGACCUUCAGGUGUCUGACUGGAUCUGGCUAUAAGCAAAACCACAAAAACCUCCUCCUAUCUAUAAGAAAGAUGAAUUACUCCUCACGGCUCAAGUGACAGGGGAAUGGAUUCUCUCACUUAGUGGAGGAUCUCAGAGUCUUCAUCCACAUCCUAAAUGUCUCAAACAAGGGAAAAGCAAAUAACAAGUACUCUGCCCACCCCUGUGUCUCCAGAACUGACAUGUGGGGAUGCUGUGCACAAAGGAACCUUGUACAUAGGCCUGACUGGGAUGGGACCUGAAUGCUACUUAACUGGCUACACCCUUUACUCUGCUUUCAAUUCUUCCUCUUAGCGCAGGCUAACUCCAGUGUCCACACCCUAGCCAUCCAUGGUUCCUUAUUAAAGGAGGGUUUGUUUGUUUGUUUGUUUGUUUGUUUGUUUGUUUAUGGCCUUUCAGACAGGGUUUCUCUGUGUAGCUGUGGCGUUCUCAGACUGAGAUCUGCUUGCCUCUACCUCCUGAGUGCUGGAGUAAAGGCAUGAAUGCACCAGACUGUGGAAAGUUCCCAUAAUUCUCACCUGAGCAAGUCUUGCAGGCUCUGUGGAGAGUUCCAGGACUCUCAACUGAGCAAGGUUUGUGGGUGUGUGGAAAGCCCCCAGAACCAACUUCAGAAUGAGACAGAGGGGUCCUCCCCUGAGCCUCUGAAUACCUUGUCCCUACGUUUUGGCUGUGUUGAUUGGAAAUUGCCUCUUGUCUGAAGAUCAGACUAAGUCAAUGAAACAGACAUGGGAGGAGAGGAAUGUUAGAUUUUUUUUUUUAACUAAGGAAAGGAAAGCUGAUGGCAGAGAGGGGAGGAUCUUGAGAGGGACGAACAGGCAGGUCUACCCGUUAGGUGGUUUUGAAAGGGCUCAGCAACAGCGCUAGACAAUCAUGUUCACCAGAGCCCAAGCUGUCAGUGACCUUCAGAGACUUGAGACUACCAGGAAGGGUCCAAGGCUUGAACAAGAUAAGAAAAAGGGUAGGGGGGGGGAGGUUAGGGGAAGGAGUGGCUACCUGGAAGACAGAUGGCCCUGCCGAGCUCAUUUGGGCCCCAAACUGGGUUAGAACACCAAUGAAGUCCUCAGGGCCAGAGACCCCAUCCAUGGGAUUUACAUCAAAGUCCUCAGGUGCUAGGUAGACUGGUGCUGUUUCGACUGUAUAGUGAGCUUGACUGGCAUCUAUACUCACAAGAGGAAUGGGUCCCAAGAGUAGGCAAGAAUGGUAAGAAAGACAAAAGGUCUCAGGAAGAGGGCUUGGAGAAGUCUGCUGGCAGUAGGGGUCCAGGUGCCCUCCUUGGACUUCUGGUGCAGUGCAAUGUUGGACUGCUGGGGCAACUUAAAGAAACGGGAGGUAGAAAGAAGACAGUCCAACUUCAGCCGACUUAGUCAGGGCCAAGGGGAAUAUGUCUCUGCUCUUCCCCCACUGUACUUGCUGACUCCCCAGGUCCAAGAAUCCCUGGGUUGACUCUGUAACUGUUGCCUCCUCUUUCACUAUACCUGGCUGUUGGGGGAAUUCCUGGCUGGGAAAACCAUCUCCACUCCAAGUAUAACUUAAGAAAGGUAUAUAAUGUACCCUUCUUAAUCUGGGGGAUGAUUAUCCACCCUUGAGACAGGCUUGACCUGCUUCCCUUGUAUUGUUCUAGCAUGGAUGCCCUCUAUGAACUGUUCCUUCGGCCUUAAAACUUUCAAGUAGCUCCUUAACACACAAUCUGGCUUUUUAACAGUUUUUUGUUAGGAUUUCUGGCUUCACACAAAUCUUGGCACAUUCAUCUUCUGGGGACUUUCUGGAGCUAUUUUGAGUUAUUGACCUUCUGAUUUAGCCAGCAUCCCUGCAAGAUGGGAUGUUUUAGCCUUGGAGGUGCAUAUGGUGCCCUUGGAGGUCAGAAGAUGGCCAGAAGAGGUUCUCUAGAAAUGGAUAGUUGAUGAACUACCAAAUGCAUGCUGGGAAUCAAAUUCAGAACCCAGGUCCUCUGCAAGAGAGACAAGAGCACUUAACCCUGAGUCAUCUCUCUAAACCCUCUUUCUAUGCCCCUAACUUCUCUUGUUUUUUAAAGAUAUUACUAUAUAAUUUUGACUGUUCUGGUACUCAAUCUAUAGAUCAGCAGGCCCUGAACUCACACAGAUCACAGAGAUCUGCUUGUCUUUGCCUCCUGAAUGCUGGGAUUAAAGUCAUGAACCACCAUAUCCAGCAGUUUCUUUUUUCUUUUUCUUCUCCUCUCCUCCCCUUCCCCCUCCUCCUCCUUCCUCCCCCCUCUCUUUCUCUCUUUUGAGACACAGUCCUCUCCUUACUUAGCCCAGGCUGACCUAGAGCUUGUAGCCAUCCCCCUGUCCCAGUUUCCCAAGUCACAGGAUUACAAGUGUGUCCCAUCAUGCCUGACUCCAGUAGAAGAGAAGGAAAUUGAGUACCUAUCUGUACAAUCUCUCAGCAGUCCCUGUGACACCACAAUAAAACCACAGUGUGUGACUGGGCUUGGUGGUGUGGGAAGGCGGAGGCAGAAGGAUUGCUGCAAAUUCAAGGCCAACCUGACCUACAAAGUAAGUUCUGGGCUACCCAGGACUAUGUAGCAAAACUCUCAGAGAGCAACAAGGAAUCCAAUAGAGAGGCAAAACUGCAAGGAUAAGGGCAGAAGGUUCCACACUUUAACAAUUGAACUCUACUGGAGCCUGAUCCAUGAUCCACCGUGGCUUUGGUUCUGCCCUUAAGACAAGUUUUCACAUAGCAGGUCUUGAAACUGCUAUAUAGCUGAGUAUGACUUUAAACUCAUGAUCCUUCUGGUUUCACCUCCCAGGUGCUAUGAAUACAGGCACACACCCCAUAACACACACCAAGCACUUGUGAUUCCCUCUGCAAACACCCAGAAGCUGACAUCUAAGGAUGCACUGGCCUCGUCUAUUCCUUUUGGGAUUAGAGUUCAUGGUCACCACAAGAGAGCAUAGAAGCAAACAGGCAGGCUCAGCACUGGAGUAGUAGCCAAGAGCUCGAUCCACAAGCACAAAGCAGAGAAGGAACUAUUGGGAAUGACAUGGGCUUUUGAAACCUCAAAGUGACACUGCUCCUCCAUCAAGGCCAUGGCUCCUAAUCUUUCCCAACAGUGUUCCAUCAACUGAAGGUCAUGAGUUUAAACAUAAGAGCCUAGCACCAUUGGUGUUUAAACUACUACAGGAGUUGCCGUAAAAAUGUAUUGGCCAACAGGAUAGUGAGAAUGCUCCUGUCUGUGGUAGUUUGAAUAGGUUUGGCCCCCCCACAGAUUCAUGUGCUUGAAUGUUUGGCCCAUAAGGAGUAAUACUAUUAGGAGGUGUGGCUUUGUUGGAGGAAGUGUGUCUCCUAUGCUUAAGCUCUGGCCAGUGUGGAAUUCCAGCCUCCUUCUGGCUGCUUGCAGAAGACAGUCCCCUUCUGCUGCCUGUGGAUCGAGAUGUGGAACUCUCAGUUCUUCCACCACCAUGCCUGCCUGCACGCUGCCAUGCUGUCUGCCAUGAUGAUAAGGGACCGAACCUCUGAAACUGUAAGCCAGCCCCAAUUAAAUGUUUUCCUUGUAAGAGUUGCCUUGGUCAUGUUGUCUCUUCACAGCAAUUAAGACACUCUCCUAAUAUGGACCUCACACAAAUGGCACACAGAUGUGACUAGAUAACUUCUUUGUUACAAAAGAACUUCUAUUCUCUUGGCAGGGUCAGGGUAGUAGAAUGAUUCUCAGAAUUCACCCAUUGUAUCUCUCUCUCUCUUUUUUUUUUUAUUAACUUGAGUGUUUGUUAUAUACAUUUCGAGUGUUAUUCCCUUUCCCGGUUUCCGGGCAAACAUCCCCC
ensembl:lncRNA